rnacentral:rRNA from 1 species
GCAGCCGCCACGGUAAUACGGAGGGUGCAAGCGUUAAUCGGAAUUACUGGGCGUAAAGCGCACGCAGGCGGUUUGUUAAGUCAGAUGUGAAAUCCCCGAGCUUAACUUGGGAACUGCAUUUGAAACUGGCAAGCUAGAGUCUUGUAGAGGGGGGUAGAAUUCCAGGUGUAGCGGUGAAAUGCGUAGAGAUCGGGAGGAACAUCAGUGGCGAAGGCGGCCAUCUGGGACAACACUGACGCUGAGGCACGAAAGCGUGGGGAGCAAACAGGAUUAGAUACCCCGGUAGUCCCUGUCUCUUAUAC